rnacentral:rRNA from 1 species
CAGUAGCCGCGGUAAUACGAAGGGGGCUAGCGUUGCUCGGAAUGACUGGGCGUAAAGGGCGCGUAGGCGGAUUGAUCAGUCAGACGUGAAAUUCCUGGGCUCAACCUGGGGGCUGCGUUUGAGACGGUUGAUCUAGAGUUUGGAAGAGGGUCGUGGAAUUCCCAGUGUAGAGGUGAAAUUCGUAGAUAUUGGGAAGAACACCGGUGGCGAAGGCGGCGACCUGGUCCUUGACUGACGCUGAGGCGCGAAGGCGUGGGGAGCAAACAGGAUUAGAUACCCGGGUAGUCCCUGUCUCUUAUAC